AGACCGGCGCACGGGUGCGUAACGCGUAUGCAAUCUGCCUUUCACAGAGGGAUAGCCCAGAGAAAUUUGGAUUAAUACCUCAUAGUAUUACGACUCGGCAUCGAGAUGUAAUUAAAGUCACAACGGUGAAAGAUGAGCAUGCGUCCCAUUAGCUAGUUGGUAAGGUAACGGCUUACCAAGGCAACGAUGGGUAGGGGUCCUGAGAGGGAGAUCCCCCACACUGGUACUGAGACACGGACCAGACUCCUACGGGAGGCAGCAGUGAGGAAUAUUGGACAAUGGGCGCAAGCCUGAUCCAGCCAUGCCGCGUGCAGGAUGACGGUCCUAUGGAUUGUAAACUGCUUUUGUACGAGAAGAAACAUCCCGACGUGUCGGGACUUGACGGUAUCGUAAGAAUAAGGAUCGGCUAACUCCGUGCCAGCAGCCGCGGUAAUACCGAGGAUCCCAGCGUUAUCCGGAAUCAUUGGGUUUAAAGGGUCCGU
rnacentral:rRNA from 1 species